UACGUAGGGGGCAAGCGUUGUCCGGAAUCAUUGGGCGUAAAGCGCGUGUAGGCGGCUCGAUAAGUCUGCUGUGAAAGUCCAGGGCUCAACCCUGGAAUGCCGGUGGAAACUGUCGAGCUAGAGUCCGGAAGAGGCGAGUGGAAUUCCUGGUGUAGCGGUGAAAUGCGCAGAUAUCAGGAGGAACACCAAUGGCGAAGGCAGCUCGCUGGGACGGUACUGACGCUGAGGCGCGAAAGCGUGGGGAUCAAACAGG
rnacentral:rRNA from 1 species